AUUUCUUUCUGGAGAUCACCCCUUGUGGAGAUUUUGUGAGCCUACAACACUGAGCACGGGGUGGAGCUCCACACAUGGAAGAGUUCUUGCUCUUCAGAGCUGUUGUCCACAAGAUGCCAGCCACUUUCCAGUUCCCUACAUAAGAAAACCUUUGCUCUCCUAAAGUUCAAGGACAGAGGAAGCAGCUGUUCUUUUGGGCUCUGUUCUGAUUCGCGUUUUGAAUGACCCAUCCUUUAGCUUGCUGGAAUUCAGUGAGCAAAAGCAGAGCACAGACAAGACUGCAAAUAUAUUCUGCUCAGAUGGAGGCACUAAACACAGGAAGCCCAGGAUUUGUUUUACAUGACAAAUACAUAAGAACUAUCAAGCUUUUUUUUUUUAAAUUAUGAUUUUUAGAGGGUCACACAGUGUUUACGUACACAAUGCUAGUCUGUAUGCAGACAGAGGAUGGCAUCAUGCCAGAUGCCGACACACUGAGAGCCCCAUCCUCAGCUGGUACAUAUCACUGUAGCUCCAUUGACUUCAAUGAACUGGCGCCAGUUUACAUUAACUGAGGAGCUGUUACAUUAUGUGGAACAAUUUCUUUUUUAUCCUUCCUUCUCUUUCAUUCUUUGAAAAACACGGAAAUGUCAUUCUUGUUAGUUCAGAGAAAGGAGUCUUAUUUGGUAGUUCUACCUUUUCUUUCUUCUUUCUAAUAACUAAUGACAUAUUCACUCUAGUUUUCUAAAGGUUAGGGAUGCCUUACGCAUCUUGACAUAACCCUGAUGGACUCAUAUAGGAUUUUGUAGGUUAAAAUCUCAGAACUGUAAGAUGAGUAUUUUUGGUCUUUUCCCAGGAGCUUUUGGAAGCAGUGGCUGAAGGUAGACUGCUGAUUAAAAUCAGUCAAAAAGAUUCUUCUAAAUUUACGUUCUCUCAAGACUAUAUCUAAUAAAACAAAGGCUGCCUCAGGCUACAAUACUGUUAUCUGAAAUAGGUAAUGAGGUCUGAAAUCACACAAUUGUCACACAAUUAGUGCUUUGGCCCAGACAGUUCUAUUUACCACGUAGAGCUGUCCUUCCAUUUAGAAACUGCUCCAAUCUGGGAAAAUAUUUCCUUUAUGUAAACAUCUGUUCAUAGGUCCAUUCAAUAUCUAGUGGGUCUCACAAAGGUGUGAACCUUCUCCUUCCUAUGUUGAUGAAAGCAUUCUUAUCUUAAAAACAUCACCAGCAACAACAACAACAACAACAACAAAAAAUGAUGUGCUUAGAAGUCGGUUCAUAUUGUUCAUAAAUUUAAUAAUUUCCUUCACCUCUUAGGAUGACUCUUCUAAUGUGCUUCCUAAAUUGUUAUCGUAUUUUCUCUUGUCCUUCAGAAGAGGGAUAUUUUGGGUGCCUUCUCCUCUACACGUGCAAAUUCUGUCUUAUCUUUAUCUUUACCAUAAUCAUUUUGUACAUUUCCCAAUUUUAAAUGAACUUGUAACAAGCAAAGGGUGUUUGAAGAUGAACUUUAUGUCUAAUGUUAAAUGAGUGUCUGAAUUUUUGUGCAUAAUCUUUUGUUACUCGCUUACUUACAUUACAUGUUCUCAUGUAGUCAUCUUGAGUCACAUAGCCACAGUCUGGCCAGAUGUUCAGAAGAGCUCUGGUUCCAUUUUGACAUUUUAAUAAAUAGUCAGUUUUUAAGUUC
ensembl:lncRNA